ACCUGCUACCCCACAAAUGAAGUUUGGGGAAAAGGGAUGAAUAUACUGUAUCUCCCUGCCUAUCUGUAUUUUUAUAAACAAGGUAUGAAAUCUCUUUUUGAUCCGCCAUUUUCAAAACUUCUUCAAUUGCUAUUUCUCAAAAGGUCUCUUCGGGGUAUCAAUGCUUAUUGAACAUUUCUAGUGGUAAAUAGGGCGUAGUUUUGUUUUUGUUUUUUAAAUUGAUCCAGCACAUAUUGACAUGCGAGCUAUUCCAGUAAAUUCGUUGUAUUUGGUGCAUAUUAUAAAACUGUUUAAUUGUAUGUAUGUUUGAUGUUUAUUUCCUAAGAAGUUGACACGUCAAGUGUUUAUACUGGUACAUGAUUUUUGCAACAUUGAUUGAUUUUCAACAAGAUUUAGAUUAUGAACAUGGUAAAAAUUGUUACAUGUAUGUCAAAUUAAAAAUCAUUGAAGCUAUUGGUUUCGGGUUAUUAUAUAUACAUGCAGGAGUAACCAUAAUUUUGUUCACCAGAAAUCAAUGUAUUUAGGUUUGGUUAUAAAAAUGUAUUCUUUUCUUCUUUUUGUCUUCAGAUGAAUUGUAUGUGAUCAUUGUUUGAUUAAAUAAAUUAGAAAUUAG
rnacentral:sRNA from 1 species